GCCGCAAUGGUGGAAUUGGUAGACACGAGGGACUUAAAAUCCCUUGACCCGGAAAGGUCGUGCGGGUUCGAGUCCCGCUCGCGGCA
rnacentral:tRNA from 1 species